rnacentral:rRNA from 1 species
AACGCUAGCUACAGGCUUAACACAUGCAAGUCGAGGGGCAGCAUGAUUGAAGCUUGCUUCAAUUGAUGGCGACCGGCGCACGGGUGAGUAACACGUAUCCAACCUGCCGAUGACUCGGGGAUAGCCUUUCGAAAGAAAGAUUAAUACCCGAUGGCAUAGUUCUUCCGCAUGGUGGAACUAUUAAAGAAUUUCGGUCAUCGAUGGGGAUGCGUUCCAUUAGGUUGUUGGCGGGGUAACGGCCCACCAAGCCUUGGAUGGAUAGGGGUUCUGAGAGGAAGGUCCCCCACAUUGGAACUGAGACACGGUCCAAACUCCUACGGGAGGCAGCAGUGAGGAAUAUUGGUCAAUGGACGAGAGUCUGAACCAGCCAAGUAGCGUGAAGGAUGACUGCCCUAUGGGUUGUAAACUUCUUUUAUACGGGAAUAAAGUGAGGCACGUGUGCCUUUUUGUAUGUACCGUAUGAAUAAGGAUCGGCUAACUCCGUGCCAGCAGCCGCGGUAAUACGGAGGAUCCGAGCGUUAUCCGGAUUUAUUGGGUUUAAAGGGAGCGUAGGCGGACGCUUAAGUCAGUUGUGAAAGUUUGCGGCUCAACCGUAAAAUUGCAGUUGAUACUGGGUGUCUUGAGUACAGUAGAGGCAGGCGGAAUUCGUGGUGUAGCGGUGAAAUGCUUAGAUAUCACGAAGAACUCCGAUUG